rnacentral:lncRNA from 1 species
GGGUGUCUUUAUAUGAGUCCGAUUACUCUACUAUCGAUAGUAUCAAGCUCUUGGUGCUAUUGAGUUUUCUGCCGUUAGAUCUACCCUUUAAUCAUUUUCAGCCACUAAAUUAUAUUAUUCAACCAACCGACCACCCAUUCAAUCCUAGGAGACCACUAUCAUCCUUUCAUCCAACGGCCGAAAACUCAAUAGCACCAAAUAUUUGGUACUAUCGAUAGUAUAAUAGUAUAAUUCAUCUUUAUAUAUUAGUAUAAAAUUUUCUCUUAAGUUUUGAAUCUUUUAAGAUGGUAUCAACGCUUGAUUCAGAUCUACCUAAUUUUUAGAUGGUUUAAUGGUUGUGUGCUAAGUGCGUCAGUCACAUAAAGUUGUUUGUGUUACAUGCUAGUCUGGCUCACUAUGUUUUUUUCUUUCCAUAGAGAGAGAGAGAGAGAGAGAGAGAGAGCAAGUUACUUGCAUUUUUUAAUAAACUCAGUACUCGAAGUAUAAAAUAACUAGUUUUCAAACUUGAGACCUUGGGAGCUUGGUAUGUAGUUUUUGUUGAAUAUUGGUAGCGAGGGUUCGAAUUUGUAU